rnacentral:rRNA from 1 species
GACGAACGCUGGCGGCGUGCCUAAUACAUGCAAGUCGAACGCAGUGGGGACGGGUGAGUAACACGUGGGUAACCUCCCAUCAGAGGGGAUAACCCUUGGAAACAGGCGCCAAACCGCAACUGAUGGAUGGCCCCGCGGUGAAUUAGCCAGUCGGGGAGGUAACGGCCCACCAAGGCCACGAUGAAUAGCCGGCCGGAGAGGGGGAGCGGCCACACUGGGACUGAGACACGGCCCAGACUCCUACGGGAGGCAGCAGUAGGGAAUCUUCGGCAAUGGACGAAAGUCUGACCGAGAAACGCCGCGUGAGUGAAGAAGGUUUUCGGAUCGUAAAGCUCUGUUGUUAGAGAAGCGGUAUCUAACCAGAAAGCCACGGCUAACUACGUGCCAGCAGCCGCGGUAAUUC